rnacentral:rRNA from 1 species
UAGGGAAAUUGGACAAUGGACGCAAGUCUGAUCCAGCCAUGCCGCGUGCAGGAUGACAGCCCUCUGGGUUGUAAACUGCUUUUAUAUGAGAAGAAACCCUCAGAUGCGUUUGAGGCUGACGGUAUCAUAUGAAUAAGGAUCGGCUAACUUCGUGCCAGCAGCCGCGGUAAUA